rnacentral:sRNA from 1 species
GUAUCUGAAGCCUGACGAGGAUGAGAACCUCCGGGGGCAAGAGGUUCGACCCGAGCGAAGCGAGAGAACGUUGCGUCAGCAACGGCCCGCAGGGCGAGCCACGCAGUGGCGAGUCAUCCUCUAUCACCGACCA